rnacentral:rRNA from 1 species
CACUCCUACGGGAGGCAGCAGUGGGGAAUUUUGGACAAUGGGCGAAAGCCUAAUCCAGCAAUGCCGCGUGAGUGAAGAAGGCCUUCGGGUUGUAAAGCUCUUUUGUCAGGGAAGAAACGGUGAAAGCUAAUAUCUUUUGCUAAUGACGGUACCUGAAGAAUAAGCACCGGCUAACUACGUGCCAGCAGCCGCGGUAAUACGUAGGGUGCAAGCGUUAAUCGGAAUUACUGGGCGUAAAGCGUGCGCAGGCGGUUUUGUAAGUCUGAUGUGAAAUCCCCGGGCUCAACCUGGGAAUUGCAUUGGAGACUGCAAGGCUAGAAUCUGGCAGAGGGGGGUAGAAUUCCACGUGUAGCAGUGAAAUGCGUAGAUAUGUGGAGGAACACCGAUGGCGAAGGCAGCCCCCUGGGUCAAGAUUGACGCUCAUGCACGAAAGCGUGGGGAGCAAACAGGAUUAGAUACCCCAGUAGUCC